rnacentral:rRNA from 1 species
UCGAGCGGGCGUACAAUACGUCAGCGGCAGACGGGUGAGUAACGCGUGGGAACGUACCUUUUGGUUCGGAACAACACAGGGAAACUUGUGCUAAUACCGGAUAAGCCCUUACGGGGAAAGAUUUAUCGCCGAAAGAUCGGCCCGCGUCUGAUUAGCUAGUUGGUGAGGUAACGGCUCACCAAGGCGACGAUCAGUAGCUGGUCUGAGAGGAUGAUCAGCCACAUUGGGACUGAGACACGGCCCAAACUCCUACGGGAGGCAGCAGUGGGGAAUAUUGGACAAUGGGCGCAAGCCUGAUCCAGCCAUGCCGCGUGAGUGAUGAAGGCCCUAGGGUUGUAAAGCUCUUUUGUGCGGGAAGAUAAUGACGGUACCGCAAGAAUAAGCCCCGGCUAACUUCGUGCCAGCAGCCGCGGUAAUACGAAGGGGGCUAGCGUUG